GCUCACUUCAACAGUGCAUAUGCUAAAAUCGGAAUGACACAAAGGAGAUUAGCAUGGGCCCUGCAUAAGAAUGACACACAGAUUUGUCAUAGGCACAGACAACAG